UACAGAGGUCUCAAGCGUUGUUCGGAUUCAUUGGGCGUAAAGGGCGCGUAGAUGGCGGGUCAAGCGUGCGGUGAAAGCUCGGGGCUCAACCCCGAGUCGGCCGUGCGAACUAGCCUGCUUGAGCACUGUAGAGGCAGAUGGAAUUCCGGGUGUAGCGGUGGAAUGCGUAGAGAUCCGGAAGAACACCGGUGGCGAAGGCGGUCUGCUGGGCAGUUGCUGACACUGAGGCGCGACAGCGUGGGGAGCAAACAGG
rnacentral:rRNA from 1 species